UGAAUACGAGAUGCUACGGCGUCGAAGCAGUCUAUGUCAUACUUCCAAGAAAAGCUUGCACUGUCAUAAACAAAUAAUGCCUGUACCAUAACCGACACAGGUGGGUAGGUAGAGUAUACUAAGGGGCGCGAGAUAACUCUCUCUAAGGAACUCGGCAAAAUGACUCCGUAACUUCGGGAGAAGGAGUGCCUUAUUUUAUAAGGUUGCAAUAACAAGAUCCAAGCAACUGUUUACCAAAAACACAGGUCUCCGCUAAGUCGUAAGACGAUGUAUGGGGGCUGACGCCUGCCCAGUGCCAGAAGGUUAAAGAAGUUGGUUAGCAUCCGCGAAGCUGAUAACUGAAGCCCUGGUGAACGGCGGCCGUAACAAUAACGGUCCUAAGGUAGCGAAAUUCCUUGUCGGGUAAGUUCCGACCCGCACGAAAGGCGUAAUGAUUUGGAUACUGUCUCAGAGAGGGGCUCGGUGAAAUAGACUUGUCUGUGAAGAUGCGGACUACCUGCACCAGGACAGAAAGACCCUAUGAAGCUUUACUGUAACUUGAAAUUGAAAUUGGACUUUACUUGCGCAGUAUAGGUGGGAGGCGUUGAGAAUAUUCUUGCGGGAAUGUUGGAGCCAUCAGUGAGAUACCACUCUUGUAAUGUUAGAUUUCUAACUUUGUAUCAUUAUCUGGUCAAAGGACAGUUUCAGGCGGGCAGUUUGACUGGGGCGGUCGCCUCCCAAACGGUAACGGAGGCGCACAAAGGUUUCCUCUGAACGGGUAGAAAUCGUAUCUAGAGUGUAAAGGCAUAAGGAAGCUUGACUGUGAGACCUACAAGUCGAGCAGGGACGAAAGUCGGUCUUAGUGAUCUGACGGUGCUGAGUGGAAAGGCCGUCACUCAACGGAUAAAAGUUACUCUAGGAUAACAGGCUGAUCUCCCCCAAGAGUUCACAUCGACGGGGAGGUUUGGCACCUCGAUGUCGGCUCAUCGCAUCCUGGGGCGGUAGUUCGUCCCAAGGGUUGGGCUGUUCGCCCAUGAAAGCGGUACGCGAGCUGGGUUCAGAACGUCGUGAGACAGUUCGGUCCAUAUCCGGUGUAGGCGUUAGAAUAUUGAGAGGAGCCUUCUUUAGUACGAGAGGACCGAGAAGGACAUACCUCUGGUGUACCAGUUAUCGUGCCAACGGUAAACGCUGGGUAGCUAUGUAUGGAGUGGAUAACCGCUGAAAGCAUCUAAGUGGGAAGCCCACCUCAAGAUAAG
rnacentral:rRNA from 1 species